rnacentral:rRNA from 1 species
CCUACGGGUGGCUGCAGUGGGGAAUAUUGGACAAUGGGCGAAAGCCUGAUCCAGCCAUGCCGCGUGUGUGAAGAAGGCCUUCGGGUUGUAAAGCACUUUCAGUGGGGAAGAAAGCCUUGGGGCUAAUACCCUCGAGGAAGGACAUCACCCACAGAAGAAGCACCGGCUAACUCCGUGCCAGCAGCCGCGGUAAUACGGAGGGUGCGAGCGUUAAUCGGAAUUACUGGGCGUAAAGCGCGCGUAGGCGGUCUGAUAAGCCGGUUGUGAAAGCCCCGGGCGCAACCUGGGAACGGCAUCCGGAACUGUCAGGCUAGAGUGCAGGAGAGGAAGGUAGAAUUCCCGGUGUAGCGGUGAAAUGCGUAGAGAUCGGGAGGAAUACCAGUGGCGAAGGCGGCCUUCUGGACUGACACUGACGCUGAGGUGCGAAAGCGUGGGUAGCAAACAGGAUUAGAUACCCCGGUAGUC